GAGAGCAUAUGCCCUAGUAAAUGACCUUGCCGGUAUGGAUAAUCCCUGCUGUUUGUCAAAGCCAGAUCACUCUGGUUCAAUGUCGGGGCGCAAAACCACAUGUUUACGACAUGUAUACUGGUCAAGGUGUUGUAUCCAGUAGAGCAGUGUUUGUAUACUGCGAUCUGUUGAGACUAUCCUUUGAUCGGGUGUUUUGU
rnacentral:ncRNA from 1 species